rnacentral:tRNA from 3 species
GGUGGGGUUCCCGAGCGGCCAAAGGGAGCAGACUGUAAAUCUGCCGUCAUCGACUUCGAAGGUUCGAAUCCUUCC